rnacentral:rRNA from 1 species
UACGGAGGAUGCAAGCGUUAUCCGGAUUUAUUGGGUUUAAAGGGUGCGUAGGCGGACUAAUAAGUCAGUGGUGAAAUCCCCCGGCUCAACCAGGGAACUGCCAUUGAUACUGUUAGUCUAGAGUACAGUUGAAGUAGGCGGAAUGUAGCAUGUAGCGGUGAAAUGCAUAGAUAUGCUACAGAACACCGAUAGCGAAGGCAGCUUGCUAAGCUGUAACUGACGCUAAUGCACGAAAGCGUGGGGAUCAAACAGGAUUAGAUACCCUGGUAGUCCACGCUGUAAACGAUGAUCACUCGUUGUUGGCGAUACACAGUCAGCGACUGAACGAAAGUAUUAAGUGAUCCACCUGGGAAGUACGAUCGCAAGGUUGAA